rnacentral:rRNA from 1 species
CGUAGGCGGUUUCUUAAGUCAGAUGUGAAAGCCCGGGGCUUAACCCCGGAAGUGCAUCUGAUACUGGGUAACUUGAGUAUGGGAGAGGGAAGUGGAAUUCCUGGUGUAGAGGUGAAAUUCGUAGAUAUCAGGAGGAACACCGGUGGCGAAGGCGACUUCCUGGACCAAUACUGACGCUGAGGCGCGAAGGCGUGGGGAGCAAACA